AUUGAACGCUGGCGGCAGGCCUAACACAUGCAAGUCGAGCGGAUGAGGAAAGCUUGCUUUUCGAUUCAGCGGCGGACGGGUGGGUAAUGCCUAGGAAUCUGCCUGUUAGUGGGGGAUAACUCGGGGAAACUCGGGCUAAUACCGCAUCCGUCCUACGGGAGAAAGUGGGGGAUCUUCGGACCUCACGCUAACAGAUGAGCCUAGGUCGGAUCAGCUAGUAGGUGAGGUAAUGGCUCACCUAGGCGACGAUCCGUAACUGGUCUGAGAGGAUGAUCAGUCACACUGGAACUGAGACACGGUCCAGACUCCUACGGGAGGCAGCAGUGGGGAAUAUUGGACAAUGGGCGAAAGCCUGAUCCAGCCAUGCCGCGUGUGUGAAGAAGGUCUUCGGAUUGUAAAGCACUUUAAGUUGGGAGGAAGGGUAUUCACCUAAUACGUGGGUACUUUGACGUUACCAACAGAAUAAGCACCGGCUAACUCUGUGCCAGCAGCCGCCGUAAAAC
rnacentral:rRNA from 1 species